UAAUACGUAGGUGGCGAGCGUUAUCCGGAAUGAUUGGGCGUAAAGGGUGCGUAGGUGGCACAUUAAGUCUGAAGUAAAAGCCAGCAGCUCAACUGCUGUAAGCUUUGGAAACUGAAGUGCUAGAGUGCAGAAGAGGGUGAUGGAAUUCCAUGUGUAGCGGUAAAAUGCGUAGAUAUAUGGAGGAACACCAGUGGCGAAGGCGGUCACCUGGUCUGUAACUGACACUGAGGCACGAAAGCGUGGGGAGCAAAUAGG
rnacentral:rRNA from 1 species